UCAGUAACGCCGAGUAUUAAUACUUGUCCUCAGUAACGCCGAAUGCUGAUGGUGCGUAUUAAUACUUGUCCUCAGUAACGCCGAGUGCUGAUGGUGUGUACCAAUUUAAAAUCUUGUUUCUUUUCAUUGAAAGGGUCUCCAAGGUGACGGAGGAGUCAUGUGAGUGAUUGCUUCAGCAAAGGUAAACUCACCUGGUCAGACGACCAAUCAGAAGUGUUUCUUCCCCAGGAGCUUCAGACGGGCUCGAUGUGAAAAUAAAGCUGACAUAAAUAUCCACAGAGGCUCCUGAUUGGCUGAAUCUGUGAACCUUCAGGGCUGCUGACUGUUUAAUUUACACCUAAUGUUUAAAUUGGUGCUCUAGUCAGAGGUGGGCCCUCCCACACCUGAGGGGGCUCACCUUCAUGAGGGGGCGGGCAGAACGCCGCUGUGAGAGCACUUUGUCACAGCGACCACCUUUUCUGAUGGCGUUUUUUUCUGACUUUGUGUUGGCUGACGAGUAUUUGACCUUUGUGCUCUGCAGAAGAAGCGGGAGGCGGCAGAGAGCGACGGCGAAGCUGUGACGCCCGGCACGCCGUCUGCAGAGGACGUGAAGAAAGAGAAGAGGGCAAAACUGGAGGAGGCGGGGCCUGGCGGUGCAGCCACGGAGCCUGAAGAGGAGGGGACGGAGCCUACGACAGAGGUCGAAAGUGCGAAGAAGAAGAAACAGAAGGACAGCGACGUGUCAGUAAGGAUGCCAUAUCAGCAGGUGAACAGGAAAUGGACUCUACCCACGUGACACCUGUCUGAACGCAAAGCAUUCUGGGAGUCUAAUAACAAUGGACUGCACGGACGCAGAAAAAAGAGGACUGUUUGUUGUUUUUUAUAAAGAUGUUAUGUUUUUGCAGCUGUAAAUACCUGAACAGGAAGCCUGUUUGUAAUUUCAAAUUAAAAGUUGUUUUCUGUA